UUCUUCUUUACAAUACUCUCAGCGUUUUGUGCUGUUUUAGCGAUUUGUUCUUGGUUGUUCUUUUGAUGUCUUUGAAGUCUUCAGUGUAUUGUUGACAGUCCUAUUUAAACAUAUUGUGAGCUUCUCUAUCAUCCAAUGUGUCGCCUUAUAGUACCUGCCGGAGAUAUGAUGACAGGUUAGAAUUCAUCCCUUUUAUGACGCUACAAACAGUAUUAGCAGCUAGCGAUAUAGAGGGUUAAACGUCCCAAAGGGUUUUCCUGAUGAAUUGAUUAAGAUCGAUGCGGAGCUAAAAAGACAACAUCUCUAUGACACGCCUACAUGUAGCUGCCCAUGCCUUUUAGGGUCCCUUUGUAGCGUGGCUAUUGUCUUAUUAUCUGGAAAAGUACUUCAAAUACAUUCUAGAUUUACUUAAUUAUCGCCACCCGAUCUAAACCGCCCGUAAGCCGUCAAGGCAAGGAUUAUGGAUUAUUACAACAUCAAAGUUUUCACCUCAAAAAAAAAAAUUUCAGAAUACAAAUGCGUCAAUGCUCUUAUCAUUGCUAACCAAUUUGAAUAUCCCCCGGGCAAACACUGGCUUCCAUUCCAUUAGCAGUGAUGAAAUUCUGUGCCUGAAUCCCGGUAAUCUUCGGUUUAAAAGUAAAUUCCAACUUCCAGGAUCUAGGAAGAUCUUAGUUACUGUACACAAGCCAUGCGUUACUUAAAAAUAGGAGACGGACUUUCAGACAAUGGGGCGCGCAAUUUGGCUUCGACCAUGGUGUUGGGAGAACUAAAGAAACAAUAAUUCUCGUGCGCAUAUAAAAAUUGGAUCAUCUUAUCGGUCGAACUGUAAAACAACAAACGGAUCAACAAAGAAUUCUCCGCAUCUCGUCUUGCUUGUUGCUGAGCGUAGUGAAUAAGUAAUCCGGGCUCUGCCGAGGAUACCUGAGAAAGUGUGCAGACUAAACAUGAAGACGAGUUCAUAAUUCAAACUAGAGUAUGCUGAGGAUUUAUAACUUGAAUUUUUGGUUAUCUGGAAUAGUAACUAAAGUUACUAUAGCAGGCCCGUACCCAGGGGUGUGCAAGGGUGGAGUUGCACCCCCCAUCACACAAUAGACGAGCCAUUUGUAGACAAAACUAUAUAGCAUAAGCGAAUUAGAUAAAGAAGGCUUUCUAGAUCACUCUGGUAUAUCAAAUCUACAACUCAAACAUUUUUGUAACCAAAUCGGGUAAUAAACAUCGC